UGCUGAUCAGCUAGCCCACCCAACAAAAAUCAACACACCCCCAUUAAUAACCCCUAAUACACUAAUACACAACCAAACAAAUCAUUUUUCCCCCCAAGUAUGGGCGACAGAAAAGGAACUAUGGAGCAACAGAGAUAGUACCGCAAGGGAACGCUGAAAGAGAAGUGAAACAACCCAGUAAAGCCUAAAAAAGCAGAGAUUAAAACUCGUACCUUUUGCAUCAUGAUUUAGCCAGUAACCCCAAGCAAAGAGAACUUUAGUUUGGCCCCCCGAAACUAAGUGAGCUACUCCAGGACAGCCUAUUAUAGGGCGAACCCGUCUCUGUGGCAAAAGAGUGGGAAGAACCUUGAGUAGAGGUGAUAAAUCUACCGAACUUAGUAAUAGCUGGUUGUCUGAGAAAUGGAUAGAAGUUCAGCCUCGCGGCUUCUUAAUUCAAAUUUCGUAUUAAACCUUAAUUAGAUUUUUAAAGAAACCGAGAGAGUUAAUCUUAGGGGGUACAGCCCCUUAGAUAAAGGACACAACCUUCACAGGUGGGUAAAGAUCAUAAUUAACCCAAGGCAAAGCACCCCGGUGGGCUUAAAAGCAGCCACCCAAACAGAAAGCGUUAAAGCUCAGGUGCACCCAAUCCUUCCGUCGAUCCCGAUAAUACAAUCUCAACCCCCUUUUAAUAUCAGACUAUCCACUGCAAACAGUGGAGAAAUAAUGCUAAUAUGAGUAAUAAGAGAGAACAAACUCUCUCCCCGCACAAGUGUACCUCGGAACGGACCAACCACCGAAUCUUAACGCCCCCAAACAAAGAGGGAAAUGGAUUUCAAAUAAAUUAACCAGAAAAACAUCCAAGACAAAAGCGUUAACCCCACACUGGAGUGCUUUUAGGGAAAGACUAAAAGGAAGAGAAGGAACUCGGCAAACACCUAAAGCCUCGCCUGUUUACCAAAAACAUCGCCUCUUGCAAAAUCAAUGAAUAAGAGGUCCCGCCUGCCCUGUGACUAUAUGUUUAACGGCCGCGGUAUUUUGACCGUGCGAAGGUAGCGCAAUCACUUGUCUUUUAAAUGGAGACCUGUAUGAAUGGCAUCACGAGGGCUUAACUGUCUCCUCUCCCCAGUCAAUGAAAUUGAUUUCCCCGUGCAGAAGCGGGGAUAAGAACAUAAGACGAGAAGACCCUAUGGAGCUUUAGACGUCAGAGCAGCUCAUGUAAAGCACCCCUAAAUAAAGGAAAAAACCAAAUGAAACCUGCCCUAAUGUCUUUGGUUGGGGCGACCGCGGGGAAAUACAAAACCCCCAUGUGGAGUAGGAACACACAUUCCUAGACCCAAGAGCUCCCGCUCUAAUGAACAGAAAUUCUGACCAACAAGAUCCGGCACAUGCCGAUCAACGGACCGAGUUACCCUAGGGAUAACAGCGCAAUCCCCUUAAAGAGCCCUUAUCGACAAGGGGGUUUACGACCUCGAUGUUGGAUCAGGACAUCCUAAUGGUGCAGCCGCUAUUAAGGGUUCGUUUGUUCAACGAUUAAAGUCCUACGUGAUCUGAGUUCAGACCGGAGUAAUCCAGGUCAGUUUCUAUCUAUGAUAGUGAUCUUUUCUAGUACGAAAGGACCGAAAAGAAAAGGCCCCUACCCAAGGUACGCCUCGCCCCUACCUGCUGAAGACAACUAAAACAGGCAAAAGGGCACACCCCUCUGCCUGAGAAAACGGCUA
rnacentral:rRNA from 1 species